UACGUAGGGUGCGAGCGUUAAUCGGAAUUACUGGGCGUAAAGCGUGCGCAGGCGGUUUUGUAAGCCAGAUGUGAAAUCCCCGGGCUUAACCUGGGAAUGGCAUUUGGGACUGCAAGGCUGGAGUGUGGCAGAGGAGACUGGAAUUCCUGGUGUAGCAGUGAAAUGCGCAGAUAUCAGGAGGAACACCGAUGGCGAAGGCAGGUCUCUGGGCCACUACUGACGCUGAGAAGCGAAAGCAUGGGGAGCGAACAGG
rnacentral:rRNA from 1 species